rnacentral:rRNA from 1 species
GAUGAACGCUGGCGGCGUGCCUAAUACAUGCAAGUCGAGCGAACGGACGAGAAGCUUGCUUCUCUGAUGUUAGCGGCGGACGGGUGAGUAACACGUGGAUAACCUACCUAUAAGACUGGGAUAACUUCGGGAAACCGGAGCUAAUACCGGAUAAUAUUUUGAACCGCAUGGUUCAAAAGUGAAAGACGGUCUUGCUGUCACUUAUAGAUGGAUCCGCGCUGCAUUAGCUAGUUGGUAAGGUAACGGCUUACCAAGGCAACGAUGCAUAGCCGACCUGAGAGGGUGAUCGGCCACACUGGAUCUGAGACAUGGUCCAGACUCCUGCGGGAGGCAGCAGUAGGGAAUCUUCCGCAAUGGGCGAAAGCCUGACGGAGCAACGCCGCGUGAGUGAUGAAGGUCUUCGGAUCGUAAAACUCUGUUAUUAGGGAAGAACAUAUGUGUAAGUAACUGUGCACAUCUUGACGGUACCUAAUCAGAAAGCCACGGCUAACUACGUG